rnacentral:snRNA from 1 species
AUCGCUUCUCGGCCUUUUGGCUAAGAUCAAGUGUAGAAAAUGUUAUGAAAUCCUGCAUUUUCCAUUAGUACUGGUUGAAUUGUACCCCCC